rnacentral:rRNA from 1 species
UACGUAGGUGGCAAGCGUUGUCCGGAUUUACUGGGCGUAAAGAGCGCGCAGGCGGUCGAUCAAGUCGCGUGUGAAAGCCCCCGGCUCAACUGGGGAGGGUCACGCGAUACUGUUCGACUCGAAGGCAGGAGAGGGUAGUGGAAUUCCCGGUGUAGUGGUGAAAUGCGUAGAUAUCGGGAGGAACACCAGUGGCGAAGGCGACUACCUGGCCUGUUCUUGACGCUGAGGCGCGAAAGCUAGGGUAGCAAACGGG